AUUGAACGCUGGCGGCAGGCCUAACACAUGCAAGUCGAACGAGCGGCGGACGGGUGAGUAAUGUAUGGGGACUGCCCCCUAGAGGGGGAUAACUACUCGAAAAGGUAGCUCAUACCCCAUACUAUCGGAUAACCCAUAUGGGAUUAGCUAGUAGGUGAGGUAAUGGCUCACCUAGGCGACGAUCCCUCGCUGGUCUGUGAGGAUGAUCAGCCACACGGGAACUGAGACACGGACCAGACUCCGACGGAGGCAGCAGUGGGGAAUAUUGCACAAUGGGCGCAAGCCUGAUGCAGCCAUGCCGCGUGUAUGAAGAAGGCCCUAGGGUUGUAAAGUACUUUCAGUGGGGAGGCGUUACCGACAGAAGAAGCACCGGCUAACUCCGUGCCAGCAGCAGCGGUAAUUC
rnacentral:rRNA from 1 species